UACGUAGGCAGCGAGCGUUGUUCGGAAUUACUGGGCGUAAAGAGUGUGUAGGCGGUGCUCCCAGUCUGUUGUGAAAUCUCCCGGCUUAACUGGGAGGGUGCAGCGGAAACUAGAGUGCUAGAGGGUGGGAGAGGUAAGCGGAAUUCCUGGUGUAGCGGUGAAAUGCGUAGAUAUCAGGAGGAACGCCAAUGGCGAAGGCAGCACUCUGGGACGUGACUGACGCUGAGACGCGAAAGCGUGGGGAGCAAACAGG
rnacentral:rRNA from 1 species